rnacentral:rRNA from 1 species
AUUGAACGCUGGCGGUAUGCUUUACACAUGCAAGUCGAACGGCAGCACGGGUGCUUGCACCUGGUGGCGAGUGGCGAACGGGUGAGUAAUACAUCGGAACGUACCCAGUCGUGGGGGAUAACGUAGCGAAAGUUACGCUAAUACCGCAUACGUCCUGAGGGAGAAAGCGGGGGACCGUAAGGCCUCGCGCGAUUGGAGCGGCCGAUGGCGGAUUAGCUAGUUGGUGGGGUAAAGGCCUACCAAGGCGACGAUCCGUAGCGGGUCUGAGAGGACGGCCCGCCCCACUGGAACUGAGACACGGUCCAGACUCCUACGGGAGGCAGCAGUGGGGAAUUUUGGACAAUGGGCGAAAGCCUGGUCCAGCCAUGCCGCGUGAGUGAAGAAGGCCUUCGGGUUGUAAAGCUCUUUCGGCAGGGAAGAAACGGCUUGGGAUAAUACCCCGGGCUAAUGACGGUACCUGAAGAAGAAGCACCGGCUAACCACGUGCCAGCAGCCGCGGUAA